UGAGGAAUAUUGGUCAAUGGGCGAGAGCCUGAACCAGCCAAGUAGCGUGCAGGAUGACGGCCCUAUGGGUUGUAAACUGCUUUUAUGUGGGGAUAAAGUGCGUGACGUGUCAUGCAUUGCAGGUACCACAUGAAUAAGGACCGGCUAAUUCCGUGCCAGCAGCCGCGGUAAUACGGAAGGUCCGGGCGUUAUCCGGAUUUAUUGGGCGUAAAGCGCGCGCAGGCGGCUUCCUAAGUCCAUCUUAAAAGUGCGGGGCUUAACCCCGUGAUGGGAUGGAAACUGGGAAGCUGGAGUAUCGGAGAGGAAAGUGGAAUUCCUAGUGUAGCGGUGAAAUGCGUAGAGAUUAGGAAGAACACCGGUGGCGAAGGCGACUUUCUGGACGAAAACUGACGCUGAGGCGCGAAAGCGUGGGGAGCAAACAGG
rnacentral:rRNA from 1 species